AUGAGGGAGCACCAGCUGCAGCAGCCCGGCACGCUCUUCCUCCUCAGGAACCCGCUCGUGGUCGCCUCCAGGACGAUGCGCCGCGGCAUCCGCGGCUUCUGCCAUGGCGUCGGCUCCACGUCCACACAGCAGCACCUCCACGCCAGCAUCGACCACCAGCAGCUGGCCAGCGGGGGUGCCGAUGCCGACGCAGCGUCGUCUUCCUUCAUGACCGUGCCGUCGUCCGUCGUGGGCUCCUGCGCGGCCGAGAGCGAGGCGGCCACCGGUGGAGGCCCGCAUGCGGCGGCCGCGGUCACCCUGGAACAGAUGAUCCUGCAGCUGGACCUGGAGGAGGAGGCCGCGGCGGCCAGAAAGGCGCGGCGCGUGGCGGCGGCAGUGCUGGAGGAGGACCGCUACCACCCUCGCCGCAUGUCGUGCGUGAACAGCUCCGACCACGUGCUCCGCUCAGCGCGGGACGCGCUCAGCCAGUACCCGCGCUUCUCCCUCGACGGCCGGGACGCCAUGUGCCGCGCGUCGUUCAGCAGCUACCACGAGGGCAUGGGCGUCGCCGGCCCCGUGCUCCGAGAUAGCCGAAACAUCCCUGCAGACCGCGACGGCAGUCGGCACCGGAGGGCGUCAGUCUGCUGCGCCGCCGCCGGCGCGGGGCACUGCAGAGCGAAAGAGUGCGGUAUGGAAGGCUACGAGAUGGACCUGGAGCGGACACUGCGGAUGCCGUCCACGGUGGCUGGGGAGAGCGUGGUGUGGUGCAAGCCCGGCGUCGUGGCCAAGCUCAUGGGCCUCGAUUCCGUGCCCGUGCCCAUCGGAGGAGGGCAGCGCGGCGGCAUUGCCGGCGCUAGAAGGAAGGCCAAUUGGGCACCGCAGGGAUCGACGCUCGGCGGCGGCGUGAGGAAGCAGAGAUCAAGGAGGAUGGGCAUAGAGGAGCUGGAGAAGGAAAGGCUCUUCAUGGCACUCCAUGGCUACCUCGGGUCGGGCGCCAGCGCCCUACGGGCAACCGCGGGCCCUGAUGUCAGUGGGUUUGGAAGGGACGGGGAAGGUUGGGAAUUCCGGGUUCCUAGCUAA
rnacentral:rRNA from 1 species